GCUCCUUCCCGCCGCGCGGCUCUGGGCUGGGGGUACCCGGCGCCCCCGCCCUGCAUUGUCCCCGGUGCAGCGCCCCCUGCCGGCCACCGUGCUGCGCUUUUGGGGGCCCGCGGCGCCCUGGCAAAGGCCGUUGAGCCCAGCCCUGAGUUCCCCGACGCUUCCAUGACCGCGCGCGUGGGACUCCAGCCCAUGGGAUGGUGCUGCCCAGAGAUGUGUUUCCUAGGAGAUUCUGGAUCCAAUCAAGUUGAUAAGGAGGAUUAGCCAUUCAUGGGCUCUUGCUACCGUGGACUGACCUGUUCUGCCCCGCCUUCCCUCCCAUGAUGCACUCUGGAACUUCUCAUAAAAAGGUACAGAGAGGCCAGGCGGUGGUGGCGCAUGCCUUUAAUCCCAGUGCUCAAGAGUCAGAGGCAGGCGGAUAUCUGUGAGUUCGAGGCCAACCUGGUCUACAGAGUCAGGUCUACAGGACUACACAGAGAAACCUUGUCUUCAGAAAUCAAAAAAGAAAGUCAUAAAGGCAGGUAUUUUCAGGCCUGUUUGUAGAGAUUUGUACACGCGUGGUGUACAUCAGUUGUGGGGCUGGAGCGAAGGCUCAGCAGCUAGAAUUUGUUGCUCUUGCAAAGUUCACCCCCCCCCCCCCAACCCCCCACCCCGACCCCCCAUUUGGUUUCCAGCACCCACAUGGUGGCUUACAGACAGCUGCAACUCCAGUUCCCAGGGAUUGGAUGCCCUCUUCUGGCCUCAGCGGGCAUUGCACUCACAUACACAAACCUGUACACAAACUCAUCUGUACACAUGAAAAACAAAAAUCUUUUAAAAAUUCACUUAUUCAGAUCCAAAUUGCUCCACUCAGCAGGGACAGUCCAGGAUCGACAGUGAAUCCUUAUCUCACAGAAACUCCAGCAGUUAGAUUUUUUUUUCAAUUGUAUUUCAAAUGAAUCUUUGUCAAUAACACGUAACACCUUGAAUUUCAUCACAACUGAGUUGUUUUCCAAUAACCACCUUUACUUAGUUUCUAGAGCUUGCUUGUGUAUUUUUCCGAGCACAGAGACUAAAACUUCAUAUUGGUAGCCGUCGGCAAAUCUGGAGUUCAUUGGGACUACAAGCCAAACCCAGACACUUGUCUCAAAGCUUUCCACGGGGUGUGAGAGAACCCCCCAUUGGCUGUAGUCAGGAAAGCUGUUCAGGAGAGCAACACAGUGCCGCUAGGUUCUAGGAGAGAGAGCAAAUUAUUGGUACCCCAAGGCUUGGCUGGAUGUUCCUGUUUCCUGUUUUCAUCAGGCCCAAAGCAAUCCUCACCAGUUAGUCCAUUUCCUGGAAAUAAUAUCCUCCUGAGAAUCUAUUUCAUCACCCUCGAAAAGAACAAGAAUUGCCCAGGUGCCGACAAAUAUUAUCUUGCAUUAGGCAAAUUAUAAAAAAAAAUAAUAAUAAUCUAGUUUCUGUGCAGAAAUUGCAGGGAAUCUGUAACAAUUAGCUCAGAAAGUUUGUUCUUUACAGCAUGGUAGAACAAAAUAAGCAAACAAAAAAAGACUUAGUUCCAGUCUCCGGGAAGAGAAAUCUUAGGAACCUUAGCGCGGAGUGGCGUACAGCGCUGCGGGUCACUUCCCUGGUUGUCACACAGUCGUACUGCAUUGCAAGGGAGGCGAUGUUUCUUUGGGAGUUGCCCUGACUUUGCCAGGCAGUGCGGUCUCUCCGGAGAUCAUCCUCCUGUUCUGGGAAUGGCUCAGCCCAGAGCUCGAGGACACAUCACGCCCUUCUCUCUAGCACCUCCGCCAUUCUGUCAGGAAUUUUGUGAUCCAAAACUACCAGCAAUCCCCCCCGAGCUUUGUAGGUGAUAAAGAAACCGAACACGCUACUUCAGUGCAUUGGCUAUCUAGCUGACAGAUAGCCUGACCGUCUCUCCCUUAUCUGGAACAAUUGUUCCUAGUGGGGAGGAGGGUGAGUUGUGCCCAAGGUUUCCAAACUUUCCUCCAAAUCACAUAGCAAGCGAGAAAGUCACAGAGCUGGAGGUUUUGCCCUGUCUUUGGAGAACAGUGAACAUGGGCUGUGAGCACCAGUUAUGGGGCUGGGGAGAUGACGGCUCAGUUGUUAGAGCACUUGGUGCAUGUGCAGAGGUCUCAGUUCUAUUCCCAGAACCCACACGUGGCUCACACCCUCCUGUAACUCCAGUUACAGUUUCUAACGCUAGGAGACAUUAAAACAUUUCGUUACAUUUAUUUAUUUAUGUGUGUUGCCAUGAUAUCUGUGUGGA